rnacentral:rRNA from 1 species
GAUGAACGCUGGCGGCGUGCCUAAUACAUGCAAGUAGAACGCUCGAGGAGGAGCUUGCUCUUCUGGAUGAGUUGCGCACGGGUGAGUAACGCGUAUGUAACCUGCCUGGUAGAGGGGGGGAAAUCUUGGAAACGAUAGCUAAUACCGCAGGACAAACGUUAUGUCAUGAUAACUGUUGAAAAGGGGCAACUGCUCCACUACCAGAUGGACCUGCGUUGUAUUAGCUAGUUGGUGGGGUAACGGCUCACCAAGGCGACGAUCCAUAGCCGCCCUGAGAGGGGGUUCGGCCACACUGGGAUUGGGACACGGCCCAGACUCCUAGGGAAGGCGCAGGUGGGGAACCUUCGGCAAUGGACGAAGGUCGGACGAGGCACCGCCGCGGAGGGAAGGAAGGUCUUCGAGUCGUAAAGCUCUGUUUUUAGGAAGGAAGAGUUUGAGCGGUAAAUGGCCUCACCGUGACGGUACCUAACCAGAAAGCCACGGCUAACUACGUG